AUUGAACGCUGGCGGCAGGCCUAACACAUGCAAGUCGAGCGGAUGAUGGGAGCUUGCUCCUUGAUUCAGCGGCGGACGGGUGAGUAAUGCCUAGGAAUCUGCCUGGUAGUGGGGGACAACGUUUCGAAAGGAACGCUAAUACCGCAUAAGUCCUACGGGAGAAAGCAGGGGACCUUCGGGCCUUGCGCUAUCAGAUGAGCCUAGGUCGGAUUAGCUUGUUGGUGAGGUAAUGGCUCACCAAGGCGACGAUCCGUAACUGGUCUGAGAGGAUGAUCAGUCACACUGGAACUGAGACACGGUCCAGACUCCUACGGGAGGCAGCAGUGGGGAAUAUUGGACAAUGGGCGAAAGCCUGAUCCAGCCAUGCCGCGUGUGUGAAGAAGGUCUUCGGAUUGUAAAGCACUUUAAGUUGGGAGGAAGGGCAGUAAGCUAAUACCUUGCUGUUUUGACGUUACCGACAGAAUAAGCACCGGCUAACUCUGUACCAGCCGCCGCUGUAACAC
rnacentral:rRNA from 1 species